CAGCGCCACGAGUGGCAAUCAUGUAUUUGGCCUAAAGCGUCCGUAGCCGGUUUGGCAAAUCUUCUGUGAAAUCGAGCAGCUCAACUGUUCGGCGGGCAGGAGACACUACCAAACUUGGAACCGGGAGGGGUACAGAGUAUUCCAGGGGAAGCGGUAAAAUGCUAUAAUCCCUGGAGGACUACCUAUGGCGAAGGCACUGUACCAGAACGGAUUCGACGGUGAGGGACGAAAGCCAGGGGAGCGAUCCGGAUUAGAUACCCGAGUAGUCC
rnacentral:rRNA from 1 species